UACGGGGGGUGCGAGCGUUGUCCGGAAUCACUGGGCGUAAAGGGCGCGUAGGUGGUUUGAUAAGUGCGUUGUGAAAGUCCGGGGCUCAACCCCGGAUCUGCCGUGCCGACUGUCAAACUCGAGGGCUGUAGAGGCAGACGGAAUUCCGGGUGUAGCGGUGGAAUGCGUAGAGAUCCGGAGGAAGACCGGUGGCGAAGGCGGUCUGCUGGGCAGUUUCUGACACUGAUGCGCGACAGCGUGGGGAGCAAACAGG
rnacentral:rRNA from 1 species